AAGUCGUAACAAGGUUUCCGUAGGUGAACCUGCGGAAGGAUCAUUACCGGAGUUAGGGUUCCUCUCGAGCCCGAUCCAUCCCUAAUCCCAUUCGUUUAAAUUCAUCCUUUUGGUUGGCCUUUGGCAGGCCCGCUGCCGUCCCGGGGGCCGCCGGGGAUGUUCAGUCAUCUGCCUGGCCAUGUGCUUGUCAGUCAGCCACUUCAAAUUCAUGUUAACCAUGUCGUCUGAACCAUUAAAUAUAAAUUUAAUUAAAA
rnacentral:misc_RNA from 1 species